rnacentral:rRNA from 1 species
UACGUAGGGUGCGAGCGUUGUCCGGAAUUAUUGGGCGUAAAGAGCUUGUAGGCGGUUUGUCGCGUCUGCCGUGAAAUUUCGAGGCUCAACCUCGAACUUGCGGUGGGUACGGGCAGACUAGAGUUCGGUAGGGGAGACUGGAAUUCCUGGUGUAGCGGUGAAAUGCGCAGAUAUCAGGAGGAACACCGGUGGCGAAGGCGGGUCUCUGGGCCGAUACUGACGCUGAGGAGCGAAAGCGUGGGGAGCGAACAGG